AUUUUUGUAGUUUAAACCUAAAACAAUAACCUUUCACGUUGUAAAAUUAACCUAAUCUGUUAACAAAAAUC
rnacentral:tRNA from 1 species